AUUGAACGCUGGCGGCAGGCCUAACACAUGCAAGUCGAGCGGAUGAAGGGAGCUUGCUCCUGGAUUCAGCGGCGGACGGGUGAGUAAUGCCUAGGAAUCUGCCUGGUAGUGGGGGAUAACGUCCGGAAACGGGCGCUAAUACCGCAUACGUCCUGAGGGAGAAAGUGGGGGAGCUUCGGACCUCACGCUAUCAGAUGAGCCUAGGUCGGAUUAGCUAGUUGGUGGGGUAAAGGCCUACCAAGGCGACGAUCCGUAACUGGUCUGAGAGGAUGAUCAGUCACACUGGAACUGAGACACGGUCCAGACUCCUACGGGAGGCAGCAGUGGGGAAUAUUGGACCAUGGGCGAAAGCCUGAUCCAGCCAUGCCGCGUGUGUGAAGAAGGUCUUCGGAUUGUAAAGCACUUUAAGUUGGGAGGAAGGGCAGUAAGUUAAUACCUUGCUGUUUUGACGUUACCAACAGAAUAAGCACCGGCUAACUUCGUG
rnacentral:rRNA from 1 species